UUUCCGUAGGUGAACCUGCGGAAGGAUCAUUCAUAAUAAAGCGUUUUAUGGCACUUUUAAAAAUCCAUAUCCACCUUGUGUGCAAUGUUAGAUCUCGUCAAUCUUGGCGAGAUUUUUAUACACCAACUCAUUCUUUAACUAAUUUGUCUGAAAAAUAUUAUGAAUACUUAAUUCAAAAUACAACUUUCAACAACGGAUCUCUUGGCUCUC
rnacentral:misc_RNA from 1 species